UACAGAGGGUGCAAGCGUUAAUCGGAAUUACUGGGCGUAAAGCGCGCGUAGGCGGUAUGUUAAGUCGGAUGUGAAAUCCCUGGGCUCAACCUAGGCAUUGCAUCCGAUACUGGCACACUAGAGUGUGGGAGAGGAAGGUAGAAUUCCAGGUGUAGCGGUGAAAUGCGUAGAGAUCUGGAGGAAUACCGAUGGCGAAGGCAGCCUUCUGGCCUAACACUGACGCUGAGGUGCGAAAGCAUGGGGAGCAAACAGG
rnacentral:rRNA from 1 species